rnacentral:SRP_RNA from 1 species
AUCGGCAAAUCAGUACGAUCAGCUCCUGCUGAACUCCCCCAGGACCGGAAGGUAGCAAGGGUAAGCGGUUGUAGCGGUGCGAUACUUGAUUUGCCUUUUUU